rnacentral:lncRNA from 10 species
GUGCCUAAAAAGGAAGCUGUUCCCCCAGCUAAAGGGAGAACUGUCCUUGAAGAAAAAGUAUCAGUUGCCUUCCGCCAAGAAGUAGUAGUAAAAGAAAGACUAGAAUUAGAAGUAGUAGAAGCAGAAGUGGAAGAAAUUCCGGAAGAAGAAGAGUUCCAUGAAGUUGAAGAAUAUUUUGAAGAAGGCGAGUUUCAUGAAGUAGAAGAAUUCAUCAAAUUAGAACAACAUAGAGUUGAAGAAGAACACAGAGUUGAAAAAGUUCAUAGGGUAAUAGAAGUUUUUGAGGCUGAAGAAGUGGAAGUAUUUGAAAAACCAAAAGCUCCACCUAAAGGGCCUGAGAUAUCUGAGAAAAUCAUCCCUCCAAAAAAACCGCCCACUAAAGUUGUUCCUCGAAAAGAGCCACCAGCUAAAGUACCGGAGGUGCCUAAGAAAAUUGUGGUAGAAGAAAAAGUACGUGUUCCUGAAGAGCCCAGAGUUCCACCAACUAAAGUGCCUGAAGUGCUGCCACCGAAGGAAGUGGUCCCAGAAAAGAAAGUACCGGUGCCUCCUGCCAAAAAGCCAGAAGCUCCACCUCCUAAAGUGCCUGAAGUGCUGCCACCGAAGGAAGUGGUCCCAGAAAAGAAAGUACCGGUGCCUCCUGCCAAAAAGCCAGAAGCUCCACCUCCUAAAGUGCCUGAGGCUCCCAAAGAAGUUGUUCCUGAAAAGAAAGUGCCAGUGCCUCCUCCUAAAAAGCCUGAAGUGCCACCCACAAAAGUCCCAGAGGUGCCAAAGGCAGCUGUCCCAGAAAAGAAGGUGCCUGAAGCUAUUCCUCCCAAACCGGAAAGUCCUCCCCCUGAAGUGCCUGAAGUGCUGCCACCGAAGGAAGUGGUCCCAGAAAAGAAAGUACCGGUGCCUCCUGCCAAAAAGCCAGAAGCUCCACCUCCUAAAGUGCCAGAGGCUCCGAAAGAAGUUGUUCCUGAAAAGAAAGUGCCAGCGGCUCCUCCUAAAAAGCCUGAAGUCACACCUGUUAAAGUGCCUGAGGCUCCCAAAGAAGUUGUUCCUG